rnacentral:lncRNA from 1 species
GUUUUCUCCUAACAUCUAUUUUGAUGGUUUUAAAAGUGAGUCAGCACAAGACCUUAAUGAGAAAUGCAGUUCCAAUGUUUCUGAAAAAAAAUCCCUGGUCCAAAGGGAUACAUGACAGGAUGCGUUGCAGUAUUCUGACUGUAUCCUUUCUUAGUGUUUGGCUUAGCUGCCUCAGGAAAUAAGUAUGCAUUUACCUCCUCAGAAGACAACUAGCAUUUUAAGGAGCACUUUAAAGAAAUGUGCUAAACAGCCCUCUUAACUCACUGUGAAAAUAUAAUGUGUGGAACUCAGCAGUUUCAACCAAAGAGUGAGUACUGUGAUGUGUUUUGCUAAGAGAAAUAUAGAGGUGAAUAAUUUGUUCAACAUUUAUAGGUUUUCCAAUUGCUACAUCUUAUAAGGAUGAAGUCCAGAGUCACACAAAGAAGUUAAGUAGAAGAUACAGGUCUUUUGAUUCCUCAUCAAAUACUAAAGGCGCCCAGUUUGAUGUUACUGAUACUGCAGCCAGCUCCUCCAGCAAAUCAGGAUACCAGCUCACUAGCGACAGUCCAACCAAGCGACCACUUGAGAAUUGAUUGGGGAUGGCUCAUAAAUGUUUCAAGAAUUCUGCUAAAUUCAGAUAAUGCAGCUAAGGAUGACAAAGUUGUAACUACUGACUCUUCAGAAUGCUAUAAGGAAUAUGGCAUUUGAUGAGGUUAGUGGUUCUAGGGCUCCGAGUUUCUCAUAGUAGCAAAAUAUAUGCACCAUAUUUGUCUGUGUGAAGAAAAAUGAAGCCUCUAAUUCCCCAUUUUGAUACGGGAGGGUAUUUUGUAUUUUUAGAAAUACCAUGAAACAUUAUAUCUGUUUUUCCUACUGCUGUAGAAAGAAAAUUUUAGUGUCAAAAUCUUGAAAAGAUGGAAUAUCAGAAUAAAUUUAGCUCUGUGGAAACAGCACUGUAAUGUCCAUUUUUCACUUUCUGCUGUGCACUAGAAGGAAAAACUUAGCCCAGCAUUCUGGUUUUAGUUCUAGAAUGUCUCACAAAAGGCUCAAGUGUUCAGAGGUGGGGUU